CCUGACAGAUACUAAUCCCAACAAUCAUACAUCCAGAACACAUGUUAAACAUCCCCACAUAACUGACAGCAAAUGGAAUAAUAUAUUUAUACAAAUACCUAACCAAACAAAAAAGGGGGGGGGGGGGGAUGAAGCAUGGAGAGAACAGCUGGGUCCUCCAAGUAAGCCCCUUAAUAACUAUGUUGUUUUUUUGCAGAAAUACACAUACAUAGGAUUGCUUUCUAUUCUGGUAGAUCUCAUUUUCCAUGUAAUACCUAGCAUGUCAUUUAUAGUUGUCCUUCAAAACACUCAAAAUGUCAUUCCUUGAGAAACUGGAGCUGGAAAUGUCUUGAUAAAAUAUUUUCUUUAUAAAUAUAUUAACUUCCCAUAUCAAUGAAUAGCUCUGAUCUUGUGGUGACAAAUUGUUCUCCUUGAUUGAGAUUGUUCGGUUGAGAUCCCUCCGGAGAGUUCAUCAGUUUGUAACUCUCACCCAGGUGUUUCUGAGACUUUUCAGGAAGCAUAAGACUCCUAUGGGGAGAGACAAUGAUUUUUUCUAUUCCCUGAAGAUUUGCAUAGAUUUCCAUUUUUGACUCUUCAUAAAUCAUCGCUGUGAUUCUCUCCAUGGUAAAGAUAGAAACCAUUUUAACACUUUCUGGGGAAAAGGAGAAAUUGUUGAAUUGACAGCAUUAACAUCAUGUUACAAAUACAUUUGAUUUGGCUUGUCUUGAAUAUCUUUAAAGAAUCAAGUGGGGAAAAUGUGAUCACUUAGACCCCGGCCUCUUUACAGAAAAAUCCUGGGGACAGAGUCGAAAUUCAGUGCAAGACUUCCUCUUCAGUAACCAGUUCAUACACUAACUUCAUAAACUUCUAUCAGAUUCUACCAGGACAAAAACCCAAGCUACUGAUUUAUUAUGCUACCAGGCGUUUUGAAGGGACCCCAGAUCGCUUCAGUGGAAGAGGAAGUGGCACUGACUUCACCUUCACUAUCGAUGGUGUGCGUCCCGAGGACGAAGGGGAGUAUUACUGUGGCCAAGUAAAUAACAGUCCUCUACACAGUGAUACACUUCAGUACAAAAACCUAGUGGACGAUCUAGACUGCAGCAGUAGUUUUCAGUUGGGAUGUGCAAGAUUUCUUUGAAUGUACAUAGAGGCUAAAAUAGGAAUUGCUACUAGAAAUUACACCUUUGAACAAAUCCUAAGAAAUAAUAAUAAAUAACAAAAAUGAGA